UAUAGGUAUACAUUUUGUGGGAAUUAAUUAGGAUAAAGAAGCAUAUUUUAAUUAAUUGAUUGAAGUAAAAAAGGGAUUAGAGAAAGUAAGAUUAGAAACUAAUUCAGCCAAUUUUAAACUUGGGCCAAUCCUUAUCUCUUGAAAGUAAUCCUCAGCAACCCAAUUCACCAAACAAAACGCCCCAGCCCAAAAUCCCACCAACCUGGCCCAAACCCCUACAACUAAACCCACCUAAGUCCCUAAUCCAUCUUCAGUAGCCAAAUGAACUAACCAAACCAACCCCUUUCCUCUUCAACCAAGAGUAACCCUAACUCACCCCAUCGCCGCCACCCCGUCACUUCCGUCACGUCACUUCACCACCACCGCUUCCAUCGGACCACCGAAGAAAACCCUUAAGUUUGUUGGUUUAAAUCAAUAUCCGCCUCCACUGCUACCACGUCUUCUUUCCCUUUGAUUGACGUGGUGGCAGAGCCGAAAGGAGCUAAUAGGAGGUCAUUUCAAACUCUGUAGAAGAGGAACGCGAUGAACCGCUGGUUUCAAGUUCGCCACUAGGUUCGUUCAGCCCUCAGACCCGAAAACCAUGGAGAAAUCUCCAUAUUCGGAGUCCCAGCGAAUCCACAGCCAUCAAAUCUUAUCUGAAAAGGUGAUUCUUUUCCUUCUGACCAUAAUUUUAUCUUUUUCCAGCCAUUAGAGAUUUCCUUUUUUUUUUUUUUCUCUUUCAAAAUUCAAAUUCAGCUUUUGAGGGAGCCGUUAACCCCAUCCUUUGGUUAUCAAUAGAGCUCGUUUUAGGCUGUUGAAAGAGGAAGGAAUUGGAGAGAAAUUUUUUAUUUACUCUUAAGUUGAAUUGGAAAAUCCCUUUCCUUUUCAUAAAUCUUCAUAACUAAAAAAUUCAUAGUUCUUUCUAAGUUCUCAGAAAAUCUUGUUUAACUCUAAGUUCUUUUUGGCUGUAUAAUUUUGAUUGUUCUCGGCUAAGCAAGGAUUGCUUUAAGAGAUUUCGGAGACUCGACGACGACAUUAGCCUCAGUUCGCUGUCCCGGAGAAGAUGUCUUCAACAUUGUUUGCUUAGCAGAGUGGUCGACUUGCCUUGGUCAACCAGCUGGGGAAGAUGACUCAGCUUCGAUUUUCAUGGUUGCUGGGAAGAAAAGAGUUUAAAGAAAUUGGGGAAGAUGACUUGGUCAACCAGCUGGGGAAGAUGACUCAGUUUCUUUUUAUUCUUUCGAGAGUUUGUUGUUUUUGGCUUUUGGGUGUGCAUUUUGAAACAUUGGGUAUAAUGAAGAGGUGGAUAUUUCAUCCAAAUUUUGUCCCUUAUUUUAAAGAGAUGGAGUGUGGGAAAGGAGAAGGCAGCGGAUUUCGUGGGAUAGGGGCGUGGUGGUGGUGAAGUGACGAGGUGGAAGGGGUGGCAGCCAUGGUUUGUUGAAGAGAGAGGAGAGAGGAACCCAACGUUUAGGGUUGUUGAUUUAAGAAGAAAGGGCCGUUAGUUUUAAGUGGGGUUUGGGCCGGGUCGGUUGGUUGGGCUACUGAAUUAUUUUGGGCCACAGAUUUGUUGGGUUGCUGAUUUAAUUUGAAUAAGAAGGGAAUUGGCCCAUUUUAUGUAGAUGAAUUAAUCAUCCUAAUUUCUUUUCAUUUUGAACUAAUUAAAAUAUGCUUCUUUGUCCUAA